UCCAGACUCCUACGGGAGGCAGCAGUGGGGGAUAUUGCACAAUGGGGGGAACCCUGAUGCAGCGACGCCGCGUGGGUGAAGGAGCGUUUCGGCGCGUAAAGCCCUAUCGGCAGGGAAGAAGGAGGACGGUACCUGACUAAGAAGCCCCGGCUAACUACGUGCCAGCAGCCGCGGUAAUACGUAGGGGGCAAGCGUUAUCCGGAUUUACUGGGUGUAAAGGGGGCGCAGACGGCAGCGCAAGCCAGGAGUGAAAGCCCGGGGCCCAACCCCGGGACUGCUCUUGGAACUGCGCGGCUGGAGUGCAGGAGGGGCAGGCGGAAUUCCUGGUGUAGCGGUGAAAUGCGUAGAUAUCAGGAGGAACACCGGUGGCGAAGGCGGCCUGCUGGACUGCGACUGACGUUGAGGCCCGAAAGCGUGGGGAGCAAACAGGAUUAGAUACCCCCGUAGU
rnacentral:rRNA from 1 species